CUUGGGCACUUUUCUCUCUUCACUGCAGUGCUCUUCUCUGGAACCGAUUGAUGGGUAGAAAUGUUCUGUCGAUGAACUUUUCUGUCUUGGAGCCUCUAAAUGUAAAUUUAUCAAAGCCAAUAAUGGUUGCACCUUUCUCUGUUGUAUUUGCACACUUGCCAUAUGUUGUCCCUGCUUGCAGCUAGGUAGUACUAGGUGGAACCGAAACUGGUUCCUUAUAAUGAUUGAUCAAAUAAUAGAUAGAAUACAUGCAAAUGUCACAUUAUUUUUUCUUGAUGAAGAAUAUAGUA
rnacentral:misc_RNA from 1 species